UGACUCUCCGGCAGGGAGCGGCUGCGCUCCCGUCUCUGGGGCCAAGGCUUUGGAGGUACGAGCCUCAUCUCUGCACCUCCCUGCCUUCCUCCCACUGACAAAGCAAACAGGCUCUUCUGUGCUCCUGCAGCCCCAGCUUGGCAAGUAUUGGCUUAAUGCUGGCCCUUCUUCAGCUGUCAGUGGCCACUGCUCUGGCUGUCACUGUCCUCACUUGUGGUGGGCAGGAUUCCUGUGUUUUGAAGAUGCCCAGUUCUGACAUCUCCCUGCUGCCAGCUGUUGCUGGAUUUAGCUGGGACAAUGGGGUGGGAGCACCUCAGCCUUGCCAGGGGUGCUGCCAGGGCUGUGCUGGAGGUGCUGCCUGGCACCGGGAGCAGCUCAUGGGCCGGUGACUCUCACUGGACUCAGAACAAACCCUGUACUUUCAGGGUGCAAUUACUGGAACAUCAUUACUGCUGAUGAGCCUUUUGCUAAAAUGACUCUCCAGAUUAAAAACCUCAAGCAAACACAUCUGCACUCCUCGGCCUCCCAGCCCCGUGCUCCCGCGGCUGCUCUGGCUGCUGAUGUGCAGUUCCAGUCUCCCUCUCCCAGCCCUGCCUGUCUGCCGGGGCUCACGGGAGCGGCUGCAGCCGGGCUGCGGAGCCGCAGAUGCUGAGAGCUGUCAGGAGCACAGAGACGUUCUGGGUGGUUUUGGCUGAGAAUUCAGCUCUGCUCUAAUGAAGCCCAACAGCCGCUAAGGAGGUUUUAUUCAAGUCAAGGUGGUUUUGACUAAUCCCUCCUUGCAGCGUUCUCAGAGGUUCUGUGUGUUUCCAGGGCUGCAUUUUUCUUUCUCUCAGCCUUCAAAACCAACAGUGUUGAGGGGGAUGGCAGAGCCCUGGGGAGAGGAUUUUGGCUUCCCUCCCUGGGCAGGGGCCGGUUCCUGACAGGAACAGGAGGAGCCCAGUGUGCCCAGCCCGGCUCCAGCCCUGUGAGCACAGGAACAGCCACAGGUGCUCUCCACAUCCCCACUCAUUUCGAUGCAGCCAGCCUGACUUCCACCUCUCCUGGAGGAGCUAAUUAAGAUUAUGUUAAUGAGGCAGAGGUGCUGAUGCUGCCCAGGGUUUUAAUGACUUUCCUCCAAGUUUUCUUUUACUGGAGGCAGAAGGGUGGUUUGUAAGGACUGGUGGGGACAGGAGCAGGCCUGGCUGUCACACCCCCCAAGCAAGUGAAGGGAAAGUGGUGGAGUCAGGGCUAAAAUUCUACUGGGAGCAAAUUUCAGUGAUCUCUUUGGGGAGGCAGAUAAGACAGGUUUGUGUGUGCAUGUGGCAUGUGCCAGGAUGCUCUAAAAGCUGGAAAUGACUGAGUAGAGGUGCUGGAGCACUUAUGUAAAAUAUCUAAAUAAAUCUUUAAUAUUUCUAAUUGCAAAUGUACAUAAAUUGCACAGCCACAUCAUUUCUUUGAACACCAACAACUUUCUCUGUACAUUAUUACAUAGUUUAAAAGGAGCUGAAGGAGAUUCAGCAAACACUUCCACUUUGCAUUUUUGUUUUUUAAACAUACUUACAAAAAAAGAUUUGUUUUUCUUUAUAAGAGGAUAUAAAACAUAGCGACUGCUUAUCAGGAACAAGUAUCAGCCUAAGCAGAUAUACAGAGAGAGGUAUAUCUUAAGACACAGUGAUGUAUGAUAGAGGAAUAUGUGAACAUGGAGGCUGCACUCUGGGGUACUGGAAGCUGAUGCAGAGCCACAUGGCAUUUACAGCAAUGUCACAGCUCAGGUGAUGUGUGAAAGUCAAUGCUUGAAUGUGACACCCUUUUCAGAAGCAUGGUUGUUUCUGCAUGUUGUGCAACGCCCUCAGGAUUGGAUUUGGUUUGGACAGCCCGUGAGCUGCAUGUUGUCGUGCUGCUCUUGUCCUCCUGCUCCUCCAUGGGUGAUUUUCCCCAAGGGAGAAGGAGAAGGCAGCAGUUUGUCUGUGUGGGGUCAGAGCAGGGCAGGUGGCACUGGCCGAGCCUUCUGGCUGAGCAGUCUCCCCUGAAACAGCCCUGAGGCUCAGGGAGAGGCUGGGGAUGGCAGGGACUGUCCCUUCCUGUGGCCACUGAAGGGAGCUCCUGGUGGCCCUGAGGCCGUGGCUCUGCCCCACACCAGCUCCCAGUCCUGGCCAGCCUGGACUGCUUUGAACACAAACCUUUGUGAGGAAGUGACCCCAGCAGCCACUGCAGGUGGGAAGGAUGGAGUGUCCACCUAGGAACAGUGGCACAGAACGUGUUCCCUUUGGAUUUUGUUUUGUACUGUCCAGGCAGAGCUGUGUGGGGGACAGGGCAGGGACUGUGGGGGAGCUGCUGGACCCACUGGUCACAGGCUGCUGCCAGAAAGGCCUCGGCCCAGGGCUGCUCCCCCUGCCCUGGGAGUGCUGGGUAAAUGAGCCCCUUUCAGAUCAGACCCCUGGGCUGCAGCCUGUGGCUGUCCUGGCUGAACACAUCAAUGCAUCUGCCAUCUGGGACUGGAAAUCCUCUCCUUGUCCAUCACAGAACAGACCUCAGCACAUUUUCUGUUACCUCUGGGUGUGGACAUUAGGAACAGGAAAAAGCUUAUGAGCUAUCUAAACUUUGGGAAUGAUUGAUUCCUUGCUGAUUGCUUUCCUAGGAGAGCCUGUGACACCUCACUGAGGUCCAGCAAGUCCCUUUGCCCUUUAGGAGUAUUCACAGUAGCAGAACCUGUGUCCUGCAACCUUGCAGCAACCUCUGGGACUGGCUCCCAGACCAGAGGGUUCCACGUGUUCUCACAGUGCAAUCAGUGCUUUACAGCUGCGAAAGCGGAAAACAAAACCAACCAGACUCAAAUGGCAAUGCAAAGUGACACCGGACUCUUUGGAUGGCGGCAGGAUUUGCUUAAACUGGUGCAGAAGGGGCUGGUGACUACACUGUAGCAUUAUUAGUUGGCAUGGGGAAGGACUGGGGUCCCUCCCAUCUUUUGGCACUGAAGCCACAAUCCCUGUUCCAGAUGAUGAUACUUACAGUCCACAGAGACCUUGGGAUACCGCUCAGUCUCCUUCAUCCCCCUUCACACAAACCCGCUCAUUUUUUCAGGAGUGUUCGCUACAGUUUAACAAAACCCCAAAUCAAAACUCUAAAAACAGAAUCUUUGAGGUGGGCCCACCACAAAUCUGGAUCCAUGGCUUUGCUCUCUUCCCUCAGAUCCCCGAGGGAGGAGGCUGGAAUCAGAACAUGGGUCUGGAUCCGGAUUUGGCAGCCCGAGCCCACCUCUCCAACACAGCAGUGAGAUACAGCCAAAUCCCGACCGAAUAAGCAGCACCAGGAGUAAGUUACUAUAUACAACUGUUAGUGAGAUAGAUACGGUACAGUAAACACUGAGAACAUUUACAAAAAAAAAUUAAGACUUGUAUUAAGAUAAAAAUUGGAGUGUUUUUGCUUUGUUUACACUUUGACGAGUUUGCACUAGAACAGCCUCUCACUGUAGAAAGCGCAAGAACCAGGAAGGAAAUGGAGCCGCUCAUGAAACCUUGGGGACAGUGUGGUUUGCUCUGGUGCUGCAGCACCUCUCGGGAUCCAGGUAU